ACCAUUCGAUAGUCGGUACCUAGAGUUUGUAGACUUCGGUCUGCUACCUCUUACCCAUGUCUUUUGAGUACCUUCGUUUCCUCGGCGGGUCCGCCCGCCGAUUGGACAACAUUCAAACCCUUUGCAGUUGCAAUCAGCGUCUGAAAAAACAUAAUAGUUACAACUUUCAACAACGGAUCUCUUGGUUCUGGCAUCGAUGAAGAACGCAGCGAAAUGCGAUAAGUAGUGUGAAUUGCAGAAUUCAGUGAAUCAUCGAAUCUUUGAACGCACAUUGCGCCCCUUGGUAUUCCAUGGGGCAUGCCUGUUCGAGCGUCAUUUGUACCUUCAAGCUCUGCUUGGUGUUGGGUGUUUGUCUCGCCUCUGCGUGUAGACUCGCCUUAAAACAAUUGGCAGCCGGCGUAUUGAUUUCGGAGCGCAGUACAUCUCGCGCUUUGCACUCAUAACGACGACGUCCAAAAGUACAUUUUUACACUCUUGACCUCGGAUCAGGUAGGGAUACCCGCUGAACUUAAGCAUAUCAAUAAGGCGGGAGGAA
rnacentral:rRNA from 1 species